AGAUUGAACGCUGGCGGCAUGCCUUACACAUGCAAGUCGAACGGCAGCACGGGAGCAAUCCUGGUGGCGAGUGGCGAACGGGUGAGUAAUAUAUCGGAACGUGCCCAGUCGUGGGGGAUAACGCAGUGAAAGCUGUGCUAAUACCGCAUACGAUCUAUGGAUGAAAGCGGGGGACUCGCAAGAGCCUCGCGCGAUUGGAGCGGCCGAUAUCAGAUUAGCUAGUUGGUGGGGUAAAAGCCCACCAAGGCGACGAUCUGUAGCUGGUCUGGAGAGGACGACCAGGCCACACUGGAACUGAGACACGUCCAGACU
rnacentral:rRNA from 1 species